UCUCAUUCCCAUCCCCAUCCGAGCAUGCUUUGGAUUGCCCCAAUAAACUGUCAUCAAGUUAAUUGCCCCAAAUGUCCGUAUAAACAAGGGCGUGUGUGUCUGUUAUGUUCCCCCGAUCUCAAGCGGGAGGAAUGGACAUCGAAUCAAGUUGAAUCAAAUCGCGGGAAUCAUCACCAUUCCGUUCUUUACGGCAUUCCACUCGCGGCACACGCACACACAAAAGCCGACAAAUUGCCAUUGGACGGGACUGUCCAAAAUGUAUAUCCAUUAUCUGUAUGGGUUUUCCUCUUCCAAAAAAAUGUUUGCUUAAAAUAGAAGUACCCUGUGCAAGGGUAUAUAACCAAACACAAAGUCAGAUCAAAAUUUCAUUGCUGCACUUGUUGUAGUAGUAAUUGUUGCUGCCGCUGCUGUUGCUGGGGAUGAGGUUUAUUAAAAUGCGGUUUUCAGCCCCGUCGCACAGUGCUUAAAUAACUAACGCAAACACAUGACGAUGAGUGGAGAGGAGAGAGGAGAGCAAUGCAAAGUGAAGCCGCGACAGCAACGCCACUCAAUGACAACAACGGUGUUGGGUUCGGCACUUUGCAUACACUUAUACACCCAAACGCAUGUGACAACAACAAGAAUGAUGUAAACCAACUCAAACACGAGCCGUGAGUGAGUCAUCCAUCCUCCCACCCCCCACAUGCUCCGAGUUGAAUUGAGGAAGCAAAAGGCCAACCGUCUCUCAGCAUGAGGGAAUUGCAGUUAAAGUGAGGACACGAUCCACAUAUCAUUAUGGAAAGGAGGGACUCUUUAAGUCCCUUGCGGCCGAGUCUCUACUGUGCUUUCACAAUUCAGUUCCAGCUUGCACAAGGAAGUAUCCCGCAUAAAUCAGAGAAUCAACGAGAGAGAGUAAAUAUAAUCGUUACAGCUACGUGCCAAUCAAACUUCAAUGUGGGGGAAUGAAUGAUGCAGUCCACAAAACAUGCACGGCAACAACCACAUUUGGCUGACAAAUGGCCGCCCGCAAGGCUGACAAAAGCUCUCCCGGUCAGGCGGUACUCGCGGCCCUCUCCCCUUCCAUACGAUCUAUUCAUGUGUCAUUCCAGCAGCACUCGAUAUGCAUGUAUAUAUGUAUACACCUUUUUAUGCUCUGACCGUGAUUUUUACGUGUAUACGUGUAUUUGUAUCUGUGUGAACAGAGGGGAUAAUAGGCUCAACAAUAGACUGGCAGUCUCCUGUCCUGCCUUACCCCCCGCCAAUGACAUUGAACUCUCGUCUGAGUGACGGCGGCGGCUGGUGCUACUGCUGGUGGGGCCUUUUGAGACUCUUUCCUGCCAACUCUGAUGGCCAUACAAUUAUUCAGCUGCAAAGAGUAUUCGACAUUUCAACGGAAAGGAGUCCAAUUUUUGAAUCACUGUUGGGUGUACUUCUCGGUCUCAUCAAAUUGAGCGUUUCCCUGACAAAUAAGAUUCGCAGCUCUGGAAAAAAGUGUAAACCCACCCCUAAAUGUACAUAUGUAUGCAGUUUCGCGGCAGAGCAGACGGCGUGCAAUGUACUCUUUGUAGGUCAGUGAUGGGGCUGCUUGGGGCUGGGGUGUGGUAUGCAUGGGUAUGCCUGGUUCUGGUUGCAGACGACGUCGCCACCGCUUUCGUCAUGCGUCGCGUGCCAGGCGUUUUGCUUAAUGUGAUUAAAACAAACGCGACAGACAGCCAACAAACAAGUAAAGUGCAGUCGGUGCUAAAAGAAAAAUCAAAGAAGCUAAAGUUUGUUGCACCCUUACGAAACGUUGGUUGGGUAGGGAGCCAGAUCUAAAACGUUUUUUAUGUUCCUUUGCACUCGGCAAAUCCUAACGGACAACUAGAACUUGCAUUCAAAUGUAGGCGCAUAUAAUUGACUGGGUGCUAUUUGGUUAGAGGGCUAUAAGAUAAGGAACCCCAUUCUCUGGUUCCCUGGCUUGCAUUCCAUAAUUUAUGAUAUCUUAUACCGUUGCUGCUAGGCCAGAGAGAUAAGCUUUAUCAAUAACUCUACAAUUUGCAAAUACAGCUGCUCUGCAUAUUGGUGUAUGUACAUGAAUAUGUGUACGAACAUGAGAAUGUGUGAAUGUAUGCAAAGAACGGGUUAAACAAACAAACUUACCUUGAAGCGGGUUUCGGAUUUAAGUUGUUGCUGCUUUCUGAGUGAAAUUCUCGUCCGAUUCGAUUGUCGGCGAUUUGAUAUUAGUUAAUUCUAUUUGUCAUAGAGGGAAGGGAAGUGUAGAAUACAGGUUCCAAAAGAGUUUUCAGAAGACGCGGGCUUCUCUUUCACGCAGGAAUUUGUAAUGUGUUUUGUGCAAACGGAUGAUCGCGAAUAAAUGCAAAGGUUUAGUGUAAGAGAAGCCGAAAAAAACUACAAUAAAUAACAAAUUUGACUAUUUUUUUGUGGUUUUACACAAACACACGCACACUACACCAGAACUCUCACUCACACCACGCACACAACCACAUAAAGAGCAAUCAGCGCCUAGAUUUGUAUUAUUACUUCGUUUCCCGCUGCUCGUUUUCUUAGCACAUUUCGCUAUGAUUGUUGCCUGGGCGAGGGACUAACGCUGCAACAUUUUUAUAAUCUGCGAAUCUAUGGAUUUUCGUUGCAAACUUCGAGAAGCAACAAAAUUUACUUGACUUGGCUGCUAGAGAUGGACUGUGGAAAAAUUUCACGAGCUUCCCUGUGAUAUUUCACUAUCGAGUGCUAGAGCUGUCGAUCAGCUGUCGCGACUUAUCAAAGCACUGCCAACUCAAUUGAGAAACAAAUGAAGUAAUCUUUAUAUUAUAUUUGUGUGGGGAGAUUUUCCCGUGGACGGCCGUUUUGAAGAUCGGCGGCGCCCUUUGCUGUAGCCCACUACUCCCCCUGCCUCAGCCCCUAGACCACCCCAGAGAUGCUCUACACGGACUGUUUAUCAACAAAUAAGUGGCACAAGAGCAAAUCGCUGAAACUGCCCUGGAAACUGGGACCCACACUGGCUACCGGCAACACCAUCGUCCUAAAGCCAGCCGAUGGCUGGUUUCGGUAAAGCCGGCGCUGCCCUGGCCAAUCACGCAGAUGUCGAUAAGGACGUGCCCCAGCUAUGACAGACUGCCCGAAUAUGCCGCUGCCGGUGUCCAGCCAUGGGGAAGCUCUCUCUCCUAUUCAGCUGGGCUCUAAAACAUUGCAUCUUUUAGCUUCGGGCCCGAGUCGCUUGCAAUGAGCGUGUGAAGCUGGCCUGCAAGCUGGUAGAAGUCAGCGCUGGCCCUGGACCAACAGUCCGAUAUGAUCUACUAUGCCCAUGGCAAGUGAAUCGAUGGAAAGAACAAAAAAACCCUUGUUUCCAUGCACAUCUCGCAAGUUAUCUUGCAUUGCCGCCUGGGGGGGUUUUGUGUACUGUCUGGACGACAAGACCUGACUGGAGAAAGAGCGUUGUUCCGCGGAGCUGUAGCGUAUGCAGCAGAUCACCGACAUCACUGCCGUGUGGACAACGGAUGCACAGUCGCACCAAGUGCUCCAAGCAUCUGAUGCUGCUGGAGGACAAGGCGCGUAUCCGGCCUAUGAGCCAGAUCAUUUCACGUGCGCGGCCCCAGUGGCGGGGAAUAGUGACAUGAACAAGGACUGCAUACCCGCCUCCUGACGCUGUGACGGCCAAAAGGACUGCCCAGACAAGUCGGAUGAGGUGGGCUGUCCCACCUGCCGGGUGGAUCAGUUCAGCUGCCAGUCCGGCGAGUGCAUCCACAAGGCCCUGGCCUGCGAUGGUACCACCAACUGUGACAACGGCCACGAUGAGGUCGACUGCUGCAAGCGGCUAGGAGAAUUUCAGUCUCCCAUCAACAAGUAAAGCACGCCGUCAAGCAUGCCCUUUUAAAGAAUUUAAAAAUUCAAUAGAGAACCUGCUGGACAUUGCAUUCGAGGUGCAACGCGACCAAGCUGCGGAUGAAGAUGGAGCGAAAAGACUCUGGACGAGUGUGCCAGGUUACCACCUUCCACAAUGCCGUCUACAAGGACCCCAGGUCCGAAGACGAUACUGCAGCGGAGUAUAAUCCGGUGAAACAGUCCAAGAGCUCGAGAGGCAUCGGGAUCUGUGUGCGUCGGACCAGACAGCUCGCCUACUUGCGUACCCAGCCGCGAGUAAAGUGAGGAGCUCAGCUAAAGGUUGAGCUGGCCAACGAUGUCUGCUGAAACAGUAUCUUCAUAUUAAAAUAACGAAAUAGGAAAUACAAAGGCCUAUACUACGGCUUACACGCAACAUUUCUUCAAAUACCAGCAACAUGGCGACUGUUUUUGUUGAACUAUUUUGUUUAAACAUUGUUUUAGUCAAAAUACAAUACAAAAGCCAGGACUAAAAACUAACCAAUCUUGUAGAAAAUGUAUUCAUAAACGGCCAAAAAUUAUGUGGGCAGAACUAAUGGAACUAAUAGAAUUAAUCAACGGAAUCUCUAAAUUGAGCAAUAUGAACGACUAUUCUCUUUCGUUUUUUUUUUUUUUACCUUUUUCGCUAAAACCAGUUUUUAGGCUAAAUCCAAUAAAAGAAAGUAUUCAAAAAAUGCCAGUCAACUA